GCUCUUAAUCAUCUGCACAGGAAUAAUUUAAUCUGACACAACAGAAUCCGUUCAAGACACAAAUUUAAGUCAAGGAUUGACGUCAAAUUUACGUACAGUUGGAACUGAUCGGAAUGCCGUCGCUCGCCUUCACUUGGGCCUUGGCCUCGUCAUAAUUGGUCUUUGGCCUCAUUUCACUUGGCCUUGGCCCAGUCAUGAUCACGUAUUCACGUUUCUGCUUUUUCAUUGCGAAGUCAGAAGCCACUAGCCAGUGAGGUAUAUUUUUUU